UAUAGGGUGUUGAGUAUGGUAUAUAUAUAUGAAAGACUGCAACAAUCAUUGUUUGGUUUAGUCGACAUGUAAGACAUGAGAUGGGAGGACACGAAACGAAACGGCGCUGAGCUGCCUGGGAUAGGUUGGACAGGCAGCUGGACACUUGGUACUUACAGCAAGGUGGAACCAACGUCCAACAACAGAAAAAUAGAGACGGCAUGAGUAAAACUAUAAGAAGAAGACACAAAACCUACGACUUAAGAAUUAACUUAAAACUAAUCAAGAAGCAUCUGAAACACAAGAGGCAAUUGUGCUGACUGGUGGAAUCUCUCGCAACAAACAGACACGGAGAGAGUAAGAGAGAGAGAUAGAGAGACAGUGUGUGCCAGGCAAUGAUAGAGAUAGGAUAGAGACAUGAACAUAACAGAGGAGCACUUAGAAAGAAAUAAAAUAAAACGGCUUGAGGAGCUUGCAGCUAAAUUGUAAACCUGAACCAGAAGCGGGAAUCGCCAACGACUGCUCUCACCUUGUUGCUGCCAAAGAUGCUGUUCAAGAUGCCGCCACGGGCCUUCUUUAGCUUUGCGGCGGUCAGCGUGCCGCUCUUAAUGGUCAAGUGAUUGUAGGGAACACUGCUGUAGUUGGAUUGCGGCACUGCGCUGGGGUCCAUCUUUGACAGAUCCUCAAAUGGUAUGUCCGUUGGUGGUGUGAAGCCCGAUUGAUAUCUGAAAUGGUGAUGAAAACGUUUAGCUAUGCCCGAACAGAAGUAAAUCGAGUUUUUUAUGCAAACCUUUCGAUGACUUUUAACGAGUCUUCCGUCUCGUUGAUGGAUUCGCCGGCCUUGACAAUGCCUUCCAUGCAGCGCGCAAUAAUAGGUGCCACCGAGGACUCAACGUCGGCGGCACCAAUAAUGAACUCGCGUAUGCCACGCGUA